CGGGAUGGUAAAUCUUUUGUGAAAUUGUUGUGCUCAACGCAACAGCGUGCAGGAGACACUGCUAUCCUUGGGACCGGGAGGGGUCAGAGGUAUUCUGGGGGGAGCGGUAAAAUGCUGUAAUCCUCAGAGGACCACCUGUGGCGAAGGCGUCUGACCAGAACGGAUCCGACGGUGAGGGACGAAAGCUAGGGGAGCGAACCGGAUUAGAUACCCGAGUAGUCCUAGCAGUAAACGUUGCGAGCAAGGUGUUGCGCGACCUCGAGGUCGUGCAGUGUCGAAACGAAGGUGUUAAGCUCGCCGCCUGGGUA
rnacentral:rRNA from 1 species